rnacentral:tRNA from 1 species
CGGAAGUAGCUCAGUCGGUAGAGCUCCAGAUUGUGGAUCUGGCUGUCGCGGGUUCGAGUCCCGUCUUCC